AUGGGAGGCAACAGCUGCUGUGAGUGCUGUCCUGGACACGGUCUCAGCUCUGCGUGUCAUUUCCCUUCUCUGGACCUCAUCAUCCCCAAAUGGAGGCUGAGUGGUGAAGGAGAACUGGCUCAUCACCAGCCCCCGUUGAACCACAAGACUUCUUUCUGGGGACCUCUGGACAGCAUAGGAGCCACAAAAUGGCCUUGGGACAAGAUGGGGCACCUGACGGUGAAGCCCGAGGACCCACACAGUGUUGGCAGGUGGCCCUCAACCCCAUUGUCUUCUGCCCGCACGCCUGGGACCACCACAUCCUUCUUGUUCCACUGAUGUCACCCAUUUCCCACCUGGGAUGCCUACCUGGGCUGGCUUUGAAAUGACAGCUAGCCUUCACCAUUUCCUUCUUCCUGGUGUCUCCUGAAUAAAAAGCUCACAAGCCCUUGUUGUCUUAGGAUCUUUUCUGCUAACCAGCGUGGACAAAGGAUGCGGUCAAAACAACAAAAACAGGGAGGUUGCACAGUUCAGGAAAUCCCACACAUUCUCAAGAAGGGUGUCCCUGGCAAGCUGAGAGAUAGCUGGGACAUCACGCUUUCCUGGAGGGGAAGGCUCCCCGCCCCCAUUCCUGCACAGCUGGGAGAAUCUCUCCUGUUCCUCCUCCAGUCUUCUCACUCUCAUUUGCUGGGCUGACCCCUGCUGGUAUUUCAAGACUGUUUGGUGCCACCGUCUCUGAGGGAUGGCCUCCGUCAUCUGAUUUAGAUGCUUUUCUUUACGUUCUCAUAGUAGCUUGUACUAAUACUUGCUACCCCCUGUUGAAAUUGUCACCAGGCAGGUCUAAGACCAGGCAGUCUGCUUUUGUCUCCGAAGGACACUUAUUACCCCUUCGUGUUCACAGGUAUUGAGUAUUCUUACUAUCAUCUUUCCCUGCUGUGCUCACGGCAGACAAUGCUAAUCUGUCAUGACACUCUGAGGAUCCCAGACCCAGCUGCAUAAUCAUUCUCAGUCCAACACUCCAGGGACCAAGGGAUCACAGUCCCCUUCUAAGAGGAAUCCAGCGUGUGUCUGGUCUUGGGCAUUCCCUGGUAGGUGAGUAACCCUGUUCUCUCAUCACUCAGUGCUUAUCAGUUGCUGAUCUGGCAGUAGGAGGAUGAAACACAGUCAGCCUAUUCUGUGUUCCUGUUCUCCUCAAGGGGUGAAGAGGCACCUGGAAACAACAGGAAGAGUUGUAGGAUUAAAAAGGAAAUCAAAGAUUGAAUGUAACUUUCAUCUGGAUGAAUCCAAAGGCAGACUUCCAGCCCUAAAUUCUGACUGGUGGCUGACACAGGACAUGGGUUCAUGGUACCCUUCUAGAAUGCAGCACAGACUACUGAUGAGCAGUGCAUGGCAAAGAAGCCAAGUGUCAUUUGAUGGCCUCAGCCUCUCAGCUGAGAAGCAGGGCACAGCUCACCCAGGCUAGGAAAACAGAGGCAAGUCCUGGAAAACUGCCUGCCUUUAACUAAGAGUUACUGGCCAUCGAGUGUCUUUUCCAAAAAAUAAAUGUCAGGCAACCUUCUCAGUAGAGUGUGGGGGGGGAUUGUCAGACUCUGGUGAUGACUUCUGAGGGUCCCAAAGAGUGAAGUGAUAUUUACAUAGCAAAUCCAAUGAGGGGGAUUGUGUGCAGUGUAGGUGGAGGUUGGGGGCAGGUUUUGUGGGUUUGCCAAGCUCUGAGGGUCAUACAAUGUGCAUGUCAAGUAUAAGAAAUCAAAGCCGUGGAAAUGGUUGGAGGUGGUUCAGUUUGAGGUCAUGUGUUUCUCAGCUCCUGUUGUGGAAUUAGUGUGAGACCCAGAAGACUGUGGCCAAAGUUAUUAUGGACUCAUGGUCUCCAUGGAAUCAUCCCUCAUGCCUUCUGCUCUCUGAUCACAUCCACACUCAUGUCAUCCUCAUUCUUCCAAGGUGAGGUUACUUGCACUGCACAGGGGCUGAUGAGAGAAUGUCCUGCCAGGAAAAACCAUCCCAAAGAGAUUCUUUCCCCCUUGGCACUGUGUCUUGUAUUUGCUCAGCAGCCCACAUCCUGUUCUGCCCCAAACCUUGGGGCAAACUUCCCACAGGUUAAUUUGAACUCCCCAAGAUUAAAAUCAAGCCCAUAUUCAGGAAACACUUAGGAGUCUUCGAGGUUCACCUAGAAGGAAGUUGGAAAUUGUUCACUUAUGUCAGUGCGUUUGCAGUUGGGCAACAGCCAGAUUGUUCAUAUGGCAAUCAAUCAAACACACCUAAGUUUUUCCCACAGAUUAGCCAUUGACUGUUAGCAAAAGCCCUCACUUCCUUAUAUUGAUUUAUAGCAGCAGUAGAAAUAUGCCACCCUAGAGG
ensembl:lncRNA